CUACGGGAGGCAGCAGUAGGGAAUCUUCCACAAUGGACGCAAGUCUGAUGGAGCAACGCCGCGUGAGUGAAGAAGGUUUUCGGAUCGUAAAGCUCUGUUGUUGGUGAAGAAGGACAUGGAUAGUAACUGAUCUAUGUUUGACGGUAAUCAACCAGAAAGUCACGGCUAACUACGUGCCAGCAGCCGCGGUAAUACGUAGGUGGCAAGCGUUGUCCGGAUUUAUUGGGCGUAAAGCGAACGCAGGCGGGAGAACAAGUCAGCUGUGAAAGCCCUCGGCUUAACCGAGGAACGGCAACUGAAACUGUUUUUCUUGAGUGCAGAAGAGGAGAGUGGAACUCCAUGUGUAGCGGUGAAAUGCGUAGAUAUAUGGAAGAACACCAGUGGCGAAGGCGGCUCUCUGGUCUGUAACUGACGCUGAGGUUCGAAAGCAUGGGUAGCGAACAGGAUUAGAUACCCUGGUAGUCCAUGCCGUAAACGAUGAGUGCUAAGUGUUGGGGGGUUCCCGCCUCUCAGUGCUGCAGCUAACGCNAUAAGCUNCCGCCCUGGGGAGUACGACCGCCAGGNUUAAACUCAAAGGAAUUGACGGGGGGCCNCACAAGCGGUU
rnacentral:rRNA from 1 species